rnacentral:pre_miRNA from 1 species
GAGACACCCCUUGUGGGGCAAGACUUGCUUCAGUGGGGCUUUGGUGCUCACUGAGUCUUCCCCCUGAGUGUGUCCUU